rnacentral:rRNA from 1 species
CCUACGGGUGGCAGCAGUGAGGAAUAUUGGUCAAUGGGCUUACGCCUGAACCAGCCAAGUCGCGUGAGGGAAGACUGCCCUAUGGGUUGUAAACCUCUUUUGUCAGGGAGCAAUUGGCGCUACGUGUAGCGUUAUCGAGAGUACCUGAAGAAAAAGCAUCGGCCAACUCCGUGCAAGCAGCCGGGGUAAUACGGGGGAUGCGAGCGUUAUCCGGAUUUAUGGGGUUAAAGGGGUGCGUAGGCGGAAUGCCAAGUGAGCGGUAAAAUCGCGGGGCUCAACCUCGCUCCGCCGUUGAAACUGGCGUUCUUGAGUGGGCGAGAAGUAUGCGGAAUGCUUGGUGUAGCGGUGAAAUGCAUAGAUAUCACGCAGAACUCCGAUUGCGAAGGCAGCUUACCAAACUAUAUCUGACGUUGAGGCACGAAAGCGUGGGUAGCAAACAGGAUUAGAUACCCGGGUAGUC